rnacentral:rRNA from 1 species
UACGUAGGAUGCAAGCGUUGUCCGGAUUUACUGGGCGUAAAGCGCGCGCAGGCGGCUCUUUAAGUAUGGCGUGAAAUCUCCCUGCUCAACGGGGAGGGUGCGUUGUAGACUGAGGAGCUUGAGGUCGGUAGAGGGGGGUGGAAUUGCUGGUGUAGCGGUGAAAUGCGUAGAGAUCAGCAGGAACACCCGUGGCGAAGGCGGCCCCCUGGGCCGUACCUGACGCUGAGGCGGCGAAGGCUAGGGGAGCGACCCGG